rnacentral:rRNA from 1 species
CCUACGGGAGGCAGCAGUGGGGAAUAUUGGGCAAUGGGCGCAAGCCUGACCCAGCAACGCCGCGUGAAGGAAGAAGGCUUUCGGGUUGUAAACUUCUUUUCUCAGGGACGAAGAAAGUGACGGUACCUGAGGACUAAGCCACGGCUAACUACGUGCCAGCAGCCGCGGUAAUACGUAGGUGGCAAGCGUUAUCCGGAUUUACUGGGUGUAAAGGGCGUGUAGGCGGGAAAGCAAGUCAGAUGUGAAAACCAUGGGCUCAACCUGUGGCCUGCAUUUGAAACUGUUUUUCUUGAGUACUGGAGAGGCAGACGGAAUUCCUAGUGUAGCGGUGAAAUGCGUAGAUAUUAGGAGGAACACCAGUGGCGAAGGCGGUCUGCUGGACAGCAACUGACGCUGAGGCGCGAAAGCGUGGGGAGCAAACAGGAUUAGAUACCCGGGUAGUC